rnacentral:tRNA from 1 species
GAUAGAAUGGCUGAGUAAGCAUUAGACUGUAAANCUAAAGACAGGGGAGGUCCCCUUUCUAUCA